rnacentral:tRNA from 1 species
UCCCAGGUGGCUCAGUAGUAAAAAAGUAUCUGCCUGCCAAGCAGGAGAUGCAGGUUUGAUCCCUGGGUUAGGAA